UGGGGAAUAUUGCACAAUGGGCGCAAGCCUGAUGCAGCCAUGCCGCGUGUAUGAAGAAGGCCUUCGGGUUGUAAAGUACUUUCAGUCGGGAGGAAGGGAGUAAAGUUAAUACCUUUGCUCAUUGACGUUACCCGCAGAAGAAGCACCGGCUAACUCCGUGCCAGCAGCCGCGGUAAUACGGAGGGUGCAAGCGUUAAUCGGAAUUACUGGGCGUAAAGCGCACGCAGGCGGUUGAUUGAGUCAGAUGUGAAAUCCCCGGGCUUAACCCGGGAAUUGCAUCUGAUACUGGUCAGCUAGAGUCUUGUAGAGGGGGGUAGAAUUCCAUGUGUAGCGGUGAAAUGCGUAGAGAUGUGGAGGAAUACCGGUGGCGAAUGCGGCCCCCUGGACAAAGACUGACGCUCAGGUGCGAAAGCGUGGGGAGCAAACAGG
rnacentral:rRNA from 1 species